GGCCAGUAGAGGCAGCCGUGGUGGGGGGUGUCGGUGCUCCCCCACAUCUGGGGCCCCAGCGGCCGGUGGCCAGGGGCAGGAUGUGUUGCCAAGGAAACCAGCGAUCGGCGCAGCCCGGGAGCAGACCGGCUGCAACAGAAUGGCCCCGCCCGCCCCAGUGGCCCAGCCCAGCGAGGAGCCCGGCCGCGCUGCGCACCUGCAAACGUAAGGAGCAGGAGCAGCAGAAGGAGCGGGCCCUGCAGCCCAAGAAGCAGCGCCUGGUGUUCACCGACCUGCAGCGCCGCACGCUUAUCGCCAUCUUCAAGGAGAACAAGCGGCCGUCCAAGGAGAUGCAGGAACUCGGCCCCUUCCGAGUCGCCAAAACCCACGUCAAGCUGGAUCCUCGCGGCUCCCCCUCCCACCCCACGCCACCCCUCUGCUGGCAGGACCCCCAGCCGAGACCCCAGCUGCCCCUCCAAGAGGCCAGGAUCCCUCGUGCCAAGAUUUCCUGCCUUAAAGCCUGGGGAGGGGCCUGCGGGGACAGUGCCCUGUCCCCCCACCGACCUGGGUGUGGCCGGCUCCGACAUGCGGGUAAAUUCCAGAUGUCCCCUGCCCCCAGCGCCCUUCGGUUUAGUUCACUUUACCUGUCGGCACCUUGAUGAACCGCACACAGGGAAAGACGCAUCCCAGGAACCAGAAGACGACGCCAGAAUCCAGGAGAGGGAAGACGCACAGGGGUCCCUUGCGGGGUGCACACCCGGGGAACCCCCCAACUCACCACCCCUCCUCCUCAUGGGUCGCAGAACUGAUCCCCCUGUCCCGCAGGGGGUGGCAGCUGGGGUGAACCUUGCAUUUGUUGAAGAACUUGGAAUCUGCUUGCUCUGUGUUUUGCCAAAAAAAAAAAAAAAAAUUUACAAAGAGGAGGGGCCGGAAGUGAAGGGGAGCACCCACCCCUGCCCCACCCCACCCAUCUCUUCUAUUUGACCUCCAAGACUGGAUUUCCCAAGACCCGCCUUCCUGCGGUUCCAAAUCCAGAGACUGGAAGGGUCCCCCCCUGGAAAACCCCCCAACCCCGACUCCCUUGGCUGCCUCCCAGGGAGGGGCCCCCACCUCUCCUGAUGAAUGCAAAAGACAUUUCUAGUGAAACCCCUUCCCCAGGUAAAGGCUACCUCACUCAACGCUCACGUUCGUGAUUGGAAAAUCACGUCUGAUACCAAAGAUUCUCCCCAGGACUUGUGCUGGAUGUAGGGUCCCCUCCCCCUCUCUACCCGGUGUCCCCUCUGCCCCCCGACGGAGAACAAGAGAGAGAGAGAGAGAGAGAGAGAGAGAGAGAGAGGGCAAGGUCGGUGAGUGCCUUUUUCUUGAACCAAAGAUGUGUAUGGAGUGUCCUGUGUCCUUAUCUGCCCCAAGGUCCUCUCUUUUCAUAAGUGUUGCUCCUAGACCUGUGGGGAUGGAGCGGCACUGUGAGAGUGGAGAGUCCCGGGUCCCCACUUGGCGACUGACCCCUGGACAAGCAGAUGCACACACGCACGCAAACACACGAACACCCACACUGACCCUGUUCCUUUUUGGGGAGACCCUAGGCACUAGGAGCCCUGUUCUGGGAAACUGAGGCCCCCUUCAUCCCUUACAUACCCUCUUCUGGAUUGGCGGGUGACAGGGUGACGGAUCUUCUAAGCCCAGCUGGCCUAGGGCCCACAGAACCAUUUUCUUUUAAAAGUAGAAAGCAGGCCGGGGAUUUAGCUCAGUGAUUCUGCCAUCUGCCUCACAAGCACAAGGUCCCAAGUUUGAUCCUUGGUACCCCAAAAGAAAAAAAAGUAGAAAGCAAAAUAAUGAACUUAUAGGGAAAAGAAAAUGUUAUAAUAUGCUAUAUUUAUAGAUAUGUUCUCAUUUUUUCUUUGUGGUGCUGAGGAUGGAACCCAGGACCUCAUGCGUGCUAGGCAGACCCACACCAGUCAGCCACAAACCCAGUCCUGGGAUUGAACUCGGGACAUUGUGCUUGCGAGGCAGGCUGCAGAACCACUGAGCUAAAUCCCUGGCCCUCUUUUCUUUCCUUUUUUUUUUUUUUUUUCUGGUACCAGGGAUCAAACUCGGGUCCUCACACUUGCCAGGCAGGCAGUGGAACCACUGAGCUAAAUCCCCUUUCCUUUCCUUUCUCUUUUUUAAGGGAAAAGGUUUCUUUGGCUCACAGUUUGUAGAGGUUUCAGUCCAUAUUCAGCUGGCUCCAAGACAGGGUGGCACAUGGCAGAGGGGAAACAGUUCAUGGUGGGACAAGGCAGUCAAAGCAAGCAAGCAAGGGCUCUUUUUCAUGCACGUGUAGGGUUUUAUUUGUGUGGUUUUUUUCUGUGUGUGUUUUGUUUCGUUUUUGAGACAGGAUCUUGCUCUGUAGUGCAGACCAGCCUUGAACUCCAAAUGAUACUCCUGCCUCAGCCUCCUGAGUGCCAGGAUAAGAGGUGUGUGCCACCAUGCUCAGCCCAAUGGGUCCUCCACACACACACACACACACACACACACACACACACACACACACCAGCUCCGCACCCUUCCCUAGCCCAGCUCCCAGCCUCCCCCCCACUAUCUGGUCCUGUGAACAAACCAAAGACCCUUCCCAUGCAGGGAACCUCCCUCCAGCACAAUUCCUUCAAGCCUUUGACAAUUCUCUCAGAAAUACCUCAAAAUAUUUAAUGUCUAGUUUAUGUGACAAAAGAAAGUUCCUUAGCUAGUUUUUGGACGACGUGACUUGAAGCUUUGUACAGUUAGAUUAUAAUUUUGCAGGCCACGGCGUGUUUGUUUGACCUUCCUGUGGGAGACACACUGAAUGUUGGGGCGGCGAGGCUGGUGCUUGGAAGGCCAGGCGGGGCAGGUGACAGGACCAGCGGCGUUUACAGAUUUCUUAUUUAAACGAGUCUUUUAGGAAAGAAGGAGAGCAAGAGAGAGAGAGCAAGAGAGAGAGAGUGAGAGAGAGAGGAAACUUUCUGUUCUCUGGCUUUUUCUGUUUCUUGUUUUUUGAGUCAUGUCUUAUAAGAGUAUUUAUUAUUCUAUGUGUUCUGUGUCCAGAUGUAAUUUAAGAAAAAAAAAAGAAGAAAAAUGAAAAAAAAAAAGACG
ensembl:lincRNA